rnacentral:tRNA from 1 species
UCUUACUCUGCAACCCGGGACUGGCAGACCUAAUUGCAGAGGUAAUGGGAAGAGCUGAAAUGAUGGGAGGUCUGGC